rnacentral:rRNA from 1 species
CCUACGGGGUGCACCAGUGGGGAAUAUUGCACAAUGGGCGCAAGCCUGAUGCAGCCAUGCCGCGUGUAUGAAGAAGGCCUUAGGGUUGUAAAGUACUUUCAGUUGGGAGGAAGGCGUUGAUGCUAAUAUCAUCAACGAUUGACGUUACCAGCAGAAGAAGCACCGGCUAACUCCGUGCCAGCAGCCGCGGUAAUACGGAGGGUGCAAGCGUUAAUCGGAAUUACUGGGCGUAAAGCGCACGCAGGCGGUCUGUCAAGUCGGAUGUGAAAUCCCCGGGCUCAACCUGGGAAUUGCAUUUGAAACUGGCAGGCUAGAGUCUUGUAGAGGGGGGUAGAAUUUCAGGUGUAGCGGUGAAAUGCGUAGAGAUCUGAAGGAAUACCAGUGGCGAAGGCGGCCCCCUGGACAAAGACUGACGCUCAGAUGCGAAAGCGUGGGGAGCAAACAGGAUUAGAUACCCGCGUAGUC